AAAAAAGGUAAGCUACUAAGAGCGAAUGGUGGAUGCCUUGACUGGUAAAGGCGAUGAAGGACGUACUAGACUGCGAUAAGCUACGGGGAGCUGUCAAGAAGCUUUGAUCCGUAGAUUUCCGAAUGGGGCAACCCAAUGUAUAGAGAUAUACAUUACCUAUAUAGGAGCGAACGAGGGGAAUUGAAACAUCUUAGUACCCUCAGGAAAAGAAAUCAAUAGAGAUUGCGUCAGUAGCGGCGAGCGAAAGCGCAAGAGGGCAAACCCAGUGCUUGCACUGGGGGUUGUAGGACUGCAAUGUGCAAGAGGUGAGUUUAGCAGAACAUUCUGGAAAGUAUAGCCAUAGAGGGUGAUAGUCCCGUAUGCGAAAAACAAACCUUAGCUAGCAGUAUCCUGAGUAGGGCGGGACACGAGAAAUCCUGUCUGAAGCUGGGUCGACCACGAUCCAACCCUAAAUACUAAUACCAGAUCGAUAGUGCACAAGUACCGUGAGGGAAAGGUGAAAAGAACUGAGGUGAUCAGAGUGAAAUAGAACCUGAAACCAUUUGCUUACAAUCAUUCAGAGCACUAUGUAGCAAUACAGUGUGAUGGACUGCCUUUUGCAUAAUGAGCCUGCGAGUUGUGGUGUCUGGCAAGGUUAAGCAAACGCGAAGCCGUAGCGAAAGCGAGUCUGAAUAGGGCGCUUAAGUCAGAUGCUGCAGACCCGAAACGAAGUGAUCUAUCCAUGAGCAAGUUGAAGCUAGUGUAAGAACUAGUGGAGGACUGAACCCAUAGGCGUUGAAAAGCCCCGGGAUGACUUGUGGAUAGGGGUGAAAGGCCAAUCAAACUUCGUGAUAGCUGGUUCUCUCCGAAAUAUAUUUAGGUAUAGCGUUGUGUCGUAAUAUAAGGGGGUAGAGCACUGAAUGGGCUAGGGCAUACACCAAUGUACCAAACCCUAUCAAACUCCGAAUACCUUAUAUGUAAUCACAGCAGUCAGGCGGCGAGUGAUAAAAUCCGUCGUCAAGAGGGAAACAACCCAGACUACCAGCUAAGGUCCCUAAAUCUUACUUAAGUGGAAAACGAUGUGAAGUUACUUAAACAACCAGGAGGUUGGCUUAGAAGCAGCCAUCCUUUAAAGAAAGCGUAAUAGCUCACUGGUCUAGUGAUUUUGCGCGGAAAAUAUAACGGGGCUAAAGUAAGUACCGAAGCUGUAGACUUGCGCACAACUUAGAUUAUUUAAGUUUAGAAUAUGAGAAACUAAGUUAUAUGUUUAGUUAUAUUUUUACUGAUUUUUAUAGAGUAAAGAUAGAAAUAAAACUUAGUAAAAUCAGUAAAAAUAUUCUUAGACUAAAGUUAAGUAGUUUAAGUUGUGUGCAAGUGGUAGGAGAGCGUUCUAUUUGCGUCGAAGGUAUACCGGUAAGGAGUGCUGGAGCGAAUAGAAGUGAGCAUGCAGGCAUGAGUAGCGAUAAUUAAUGUGAGAAUCAUUAACGCCGUAAACCCAAGGUUUCCUACGCGAUGCUCGUCAUCGUAGGGUUAGUCGGGUCCUAAGUCGAGUCCGAAAGGGGUAGACGAUGGCAAAUUGGUUAAUAUUCCAAUACCAACAUUAGUGUGCGAUGGAAGGACGCUUAGGGCUAAGGGGGCUAGCGGAUGGAAGUGCUAGUCUAAGGUCGUAGGAGGUUGUACAGGCAAAUCCGUAUAACAAUACUCCGAGAACUGAAAGGCUUUUUGAAGUCUUCGGAUGGAUAGAAGAACCCCUGAUGCCAUCGAGCCAAGAAAAGUUUCUAAGUUUAGCUAAUGUUGCCCGUACCGUAAACCGACACAGGUGGGUGGGAUGAGUAUUCUAAGGCGCGUGGAAGAACUCUCUUUAAGGAACUCUGCAAAAUAGCACCGUAUCUUCGGUAUAAGGUGUGGUUCGCUUCGUAUUAGGAUUUACUCCGAAAGCGAAGAAACUUACAACAAAGAGUCCCUCCCGACUGUUUACCAAAAACACAGCACUCUGCUAACUCGUAAGAGGAUGUAUAGGGUGUGACGCCUGCCCGGUGCUCGAAGGUUAAUUGAUGGGGUUAGCAUUAGCGAAGCUCUUGAUCGAAGCCCGAGUAAACGGCGGCCGUAACUAUAACGGUCCUAAGGUAGCGAAAUUCCUUGUCGGUUAAAUACCGACCUGCAUGAAUGGCGUAACGAGAUGGGAGCUGUCUCAAAGAGGGAUCCAGUGAAAUUGUAGUGGAGGUGAAAAUUCCUCCUACCCGCGGCAAGACGGAAAGACCCCGUGGACCUUUACUACAGCUUGACACUGCUAUUUGGAUAAGAAUGUGCAGGAUA
rnacentral:rRNA from 1 species